CAUUGUUUGGUGUGAUAUUGGAAUAUGUCCAAGGUCUGGAUGAUGCUUACGAUAUCUUCCGAAUUCAUGAAAUUGACGAAGGGAAUCUAUGCCAGAUCCCGGUUGGAUCACCCGUAAGUUGUAUGAAAUUGACUGGAAGUGUACUAAGGUUAUCAGUUUAGAUGCGUUGUUAGUCGCAAAAAUGUGAUGAAUUGCAUGGGGUCAAGUAAUGGGUACUCAGCCAGUGAGGGUCAUAUGUAAAACACUUAAAAUGAAGGAUGAUUCUAAACAGACCGAGAAACUAGACUACACCAAAACAAUAUCUCACUUUAUGUCUCACAAUUUUUUUUGUGGUCCCGAUGGGCACCGUGGAGGACAGCAAGGGGUCCCAUUUUUUGGGUUUGUUGUGCCUAGCGGUUUCCGUGUGGUUUCAUUCACACGGUUCACCAAGAAUUUUUGUAAAAUGAAAUGCAGAUGGAAAUCUACAUCAAGGUGUUACUUUCUUGAUCAUCAAUACGAAACUCUGGUCAAAGUAAAGAGUUUUAUUGAAAUGUAAAAUUAUUCUUAGAGUUACUGUAUAGUUACUGUAUAUAAAGGAUGACAAACCUAUCGUAUUAAAUGGGUUUCACAAGAAUCUAACCCAGUUAUACACUUUGAGCAUGACAUGAACCUAGCAGUUGGCACCUCGACAAACGUAUCAGAUCAGUUUGAAGGGGAGAUGAUUGGGAUAUCAACUGUAGUUAUACUCUUUGUAAAUCCUUGGCUCUUUGUGUAUGUGUAAUCUUCAAGAAAUCUUCUUAGUUUGUUGCCCAAUCGUUACAAUUUAUCCACGGUUAAGGUUUAAA